rnacentral:rRNA from 1 species
UACGAAGGGGGCUAGCGUUGCUCGGAAUUACUGGGCGUAAAGAGCUCGUAGGCGGCUCGGUAAGUCGGAUGUGAAACCUCCAGGCUCAACCUGGAGACGCCAUCUGAUACUGCCGUGGCUUGAGUCCGGUAGAGGAGCAGGGAAUUCCUGGUGUAGCGGUGAAAUGCGCAGAUAUCAGGAGGAACACCAGCGGCGAAGGCGCUGCUCUGGGCCGGUACUGACGCUGAGGAGCGAAAGCGUGGGGAGCGAACAGG